AGCACAACUGCUGGGUCUUAUGUUUAGAGUAUGUUUACUUUUGUGAGGGAAAAAACCUCCAAACUGUCUUCCAAAGUGGCUGUACCAUUUGGCAUUCCCACCAGCAGA
rnacentral:pre_miRNA from 1 species